rnacentral:rRNA from 1 species
CGUAGGGUGCAAGCGUUGUUCGGAAUCAUUGGGCGUAAAGCGCGUGUAGGUUGUCAGUUAAGUCGGGUGUGAAAGCCCUCGGCUCAACCGGGGAAGUGCAUCCGAAACUAACUGACUAGAAGAUGGUAGAGGAAGGUGGAAUUCCUAGUGUAGAGGUGAAAUUCGUAGAUAUUAGGAGGAAUACCUGUGGCGAAGGCGGCCUUCUGGGCCAUUCUUGACACUGAGACGCGAAAGCGUGGGUAGCAAACAGGAUUAGAUACCCUGGUAGUCCACGCCGUAAACGAUGGGUACUAGAUGUUGCGGGAAUUGACCCCUGCAGUGUCGACGCUAACGCAUUAAGUACCCCGCCUGGGAAGUACGGUCGCAAGAUUA